rnacentral:lncRNA from 1 species
AGCGUGAAGAGCAGGCAGCAAGUCAGUGCAGAGCUGUGGGGAAGGGCUCCAAGUACUGCAAGGCACACUCAGUACAUUCAGAUCUCCCUGGCAUGGCUAGUGGGCUGGGGGAAUGGGUAAUGGGAGGAAACCACUUCUCUCAAAGACUCCUACCUCUGACUCCCAGGUACCCCUUCACCCACUACCCACAAUGAGCCUUGAGAGCCAGAGAUCUGCAAAGGAGGGGCCUCAGAAGGAUGUGCACCUGAGGCUCAUGCUGGCGCCCACCAGGAAGCACAGCAUCUCCCUCUGAGUAUGGGUGCUCCAGCCCCCACAGCCUGAAUCUGCGGCUAUAAGAGAACUGUUUAUCAAGACUCGGGGACAUGGAAGAGGCGCUGGUAUAUCCCUCCACUCCACUCCUCAAAUCUCAGUGCUGUGCCUCAGGACAUGGCACCCGCAGAGGACAUUCCCGGAAGCUGAGCAGCCCCCCUUGGAAAUGGUGUGUACAGCCUCCACCUCUCCAGCUCUGGGGCUCUCAUUUCUGCUCCUA